rnacentral:lncRNA from 1 species
AAACUCAUUAAAAAUUAAAAUUAGUUUAGAUCAUUUAAAUACUUUGAUCUCGAAGCGUUAAGUGUAUAACCUAUAUUUAGUUGACUGUCUAAUCUUUAUCGAGUUUAAUACUUGGUUAAACUUGUAUUUUAAUAUCUUAGGAAAGCAUAUACUGAAUAAGUAAGAUGAUACGUCAACAAAUAAUAGUUAUAAUGUGCAUGAUUUUUAUUGUAAGCAUCGCAGAAUGUGGCAAAGGAGAUAUCAGGAGAGGCUAUCGCUGCAAUGGAGGCAAAUGUCAAGUAUAUGAUUAUUAUGAAAGGGAAUGGUGUUACCCUAGAAGAGAUCGAUCUCAUAGGUUCAGACCGCCAAAAUGUGUACAUUACUCAGAUUGCUAUGGGUUGGAUUGUGAAUAAAGUAGUAUGUCAAAAGAUAACCAAAGAAAAGAAGAAAAAAAGAAGAAAAAAAACUUUUGAUUAACUAGUAUAACAUACAAAGUUAGUCGGUACUUUUUGAAUACCGACUAACUUUCAUGAUGGUUCUUGGUAUAUGAUGGUAUACAAUAUCACUUUAUAUCACUUUAUUAUUGAUAAAUAUAUUUAUCAAAUAUAUUUUAUCAUACUAAA